AGUGAACGCUGGCGGUAGGCCUAACACGUGCAAGUCGAACGGCAGCACAGUAAGAGCUUGCUCUUACGGGUGGCGAGUGGCGGACGGGUGAGGAAUACAUCGGAAUCUACUUUUUCGUGGGGGAUAACGUAGGGAAACUUACGCUAAUACCGCAUACGACCUACGGGUGAAAGCAGGGGAUCUUCGGACCUUGCGCGAUUGAAUGAGCCGAUGUCGGAUUAGCUAGUUGGCGGGGUAAAGGCCCACCAAGGCGACGAUCCGUAGCUGGUCUGAGAGGAUGAUCAGCCACACUGGAACUGAGACACGGUCCAGACUCCUACGGGAGGCAGCAGUGGGGAAUAUUGGACAAUGGGCGCAAGCCUGAUCCAGCCAUACCGCGUGGGUGAAGAAGGCCUUCGGGUUGUAAAGCCCUUUUGUUGGGAAAGAAAAGCAGCAGGUUGAUACCCCGCUGUUCUGACGGUACCCAAAGAAUAAGCACCGGCUAACUUCGUG
rnacentral:rRNA from 1 species